rnacentral:tRNA from 1 species
GGUGAUUCACUGGUAGAAUUUUUGCCUUCUGUGCAGGAGACCUGGGUUCAUUUCCCAGACAAACCA